rnacentral:ncRNA from 1 species
GGUUAAUGUGCUAAUAAUAACCUAACCUAGACCUUGAAUAUACAUCCCUAAACUUCUAAAUAAUCGACCCAUAACCCAUAACCCUUCUAAAGAUACAAUGUGAUUUAUUCCCAUUGCUCUGCAUGCCAAAGUGAAGAAAUUCAACCAAGCGCAGGUAAACGAUGGGAGUAACUAUGAAUCUCUUAAGGAAUCCAGAUGCAUCAUCAUAUAAUUAGUGACACGCAUGAUGGAUCAUUAACAAUAUUCCCCACUGUCCCUAGCUACUAUAUUCUAGAGAAACCACAUCCAAGGGAAUGGGCUUGGCAGAAUUAGUGGGGAAAGAAGACCCUGUUGAGCUUGACUCUAGUCCUAACCCAUUCAAAGUUUGGGA